UGAGGUAGAGGCGCGAUAUUUAACAGUCCUUAGUGGAGCUUGAGUAGCUGUGAUGCUAGGGAGAAGGAAAUGUCGCCGAAGUUUGUAAUAAACUCAUUAUUACAUGCUGGGUCUGCAGUGAAUAAUUGCAGGACUGUCCGUUAUAAACGUCCCGGUUUAUAAUGGUGUGCUAUCUC
rnacentral:ncRNA from 1 species